rnacentral:rRNA from 1 species
UGGGGAAUUUUGGACAAUGGGCGCAAGCCUGAUCCAGCCAUGCCGCGUGUCUGAAGAAGGCCUUCGGGUUGUAAAGGACUUUUGUCAGGGAAGAAAAGGCUGUUGCUAAUACCGACAGCUGAUGACGGUACCUGAAGAAUAAGCACCGGCUAACUACGUGCCAGCAGCCGCGGUAAUACGUAGGGUGCGAGCGUUAAUCGGAAUUACUGGGCGUAAAGCGAGCGCAGACGGUUACUUAAGCAGGAUGUGAAAUCCCCGGGCUCAACCUGGGAACUGCGUUCUGAACUGGGUGACUAGAGUGUGUCAGAGGGAGGUAGAAUUCCACGUGUAGCAGUGAAAUGCGUAGAGAUGUGGAGGAAUACCGAUGGCGAAGGCAGCCUCCUGGGAUAGCACUGACGUUCAUGCUCGAAAGCGUGGGUAGCAAACAGGAUUAGAUACCCUGGUAGUCCACGCCCUAAACGAUGUCAAUUAGCUGUUGGGCAACUUGAUUGCUUAGUAGCGUAGCUAACGCGUGAAAUUGACCGCCUGGGGAGUACGGUCGCAAGAUUA